GACAGAGGUCCCGAGCGUUAGGCGGAAUCACUGGGCUUAAAGCGUGUGUAGGCGGAUCGUUAAGUGCCUUGUGAAAUCCCAUGGCUUAACCAUGGAACUGCUUGGCAUACUGGCGAUCUUGAGCCACUUAGGGGCAACCGGAACAAAUGGUGGAGCGGUGAAAUGCGUAGAGAUGUGGAGGAACACCGAUGGCGAAGGCAGCCUCCUGGGCCAACACUGACGCUCAUGCACGAAAGCGUGGGGAGCAAACAGG
rnacentral:rRNA from 1 species